rnacentral:sRNA from 1 species
AGCAUUAUAGAGUGAGGUUUUUAAACUUAAUAUCUGACACUAUAGAGAGAUAAUUCAUGGGUAAGAAGAAUAGAAAGCCAAUUGCAAACUGGUAUUUCAAAAGUUAAGUCUCUACUACAGAUUCUCUACUACAGAUUUAAAAGUGGGAAUUUUGCGCACUUUGAUCAAUCAGAGAUUUAGAAAUCUACUCUUGCUACGCUAAAGCAUGGAAGUUCCAUGAGGUUCCAUGCCUACCUCAUUCCUUCCCCUUUCAUUCUUACCCCUUUUCAUUAGCAAUAGAGCGCCCAUAUAAGUACCCCCUUGAACCCCCGCCUGUAUCUUAGAAAAGCAAACCUAAAUUGAAUCAAAUCAUACACAUACUAGACAUUUCAAAGGGGAUUAUCUCAACAAUUGAUAGCAUGUCUGUAUUGAACACUGAGCUAUCCACAUUCUCAAUCCUCCUCCACUGACUGAGACUCUGUCAGUAAGAGCUAUAGUUACUCUAUAGCUGCAUUAUCAAGCAUAAACAUUCAGCUUGAGACAGUCUUUUCCACUCUUCUAUCAUCAGUUUCUUCAUCAGUUAUACUCAAUAGUAUAGCCCGCGUGGCACAGUUGCCACUUCUUACCCAUGAAGGCCCCUGUGACCAGGGGCCAAGCCUAGUGAGGCAGUGCUGACAGGGGUGCUGCUUGGCAGUGAUGGGGGUGGUGGCUGCUGGAAGCUGCCCUCAUUAGUGUCAAGCAGCUCUCCUGUCACUAGUGCUGAGCUAAGCAAGAUCCAAUGAUUACAGAGAGUUGAGUAUAGGGUGCUUAUACACACUAGCACCUGCCAAGGCCCCCGGCAACUAAGGGGCCACCCCAACAACAGGAAAUGAUUUUAAAAACCAUCUGAUUGACUGCCUCAUCAGAGACAAGUCAAGCAGAACAUCCUGAUAGACACCCUAUCCCCAGGGCCCACUAGUGGUCAUCUAAUACUAUUAGUGGGUAAAACAUCAGAAGGGGUAAGUCUAUGGUUAGUUCCUUACACAGAGCAAGGCCACAACAGCUGGUUGGUAGACCAAGGGGGCAAUGGACUGAGAUCAGCAACUGGAAGCUCUAGAUGGUGAUGCUUAGAAUGAGUGGUGGUGCUUAACUAGAACCCCCAGCUGAAAGCCCCAGAACUAGUUAAAGCGGCCUGAGAGAACAGACACAGUGGUCAGUUGGUUAUAGAGAUAUAUGUAACUAGCUUAAGAUGCAUCCUGUGUGUAUGUAUGUAUGUAUUGAUUUAGCGUCCUGAGGGAGCACAGGCAGCACCUGUGCCUUGAGGGCCUCCCAAAGGGCAUGGGGACAUGCUAUGCUGGAGAAAUUUCUAUAUACAUAUAGAAAGAAGAGAAACAGAAUUCAGAUGACAACUCUUGAGAAGAUUCAGCUCAUUAAGCUGCUCAUCCACUGCUGGCCCAAUGUAUGAUCAUUCAUGAUAAGACUAUAAGAUGACUUUCUAGAUAAGAUCACUGCUGCUAUAUCUGAAAGACUUUAUAAUUAAUGAAGAGAAAGACUAUUUUCUUGAUUUAUUGAGAGACUCAGUAGCACUCAUUGUGAAAGAAGAAGUAGACAAAGAAAAUUAGAAAAGAAGAAAUCUAAGAAGAAAAGAUAAAUAUAGUAUAAUUCAGUUAUAUGAUUCUUCAAUUGAGAGUCAGACAGCUGAAAGAAGAAAAGAAAAACAAAUCAAUAUAAAAGAAAGAGAAAAGAGAAGAAAAGACUGAGAAGAAAAAGAUUAUCACAAAGAAAACAGAGAGC